rnacentral:misc_RNA from 1 species
CUCUCUUCACAGUUCAAAACCCUAGCCUCCUGUCGAUCUGCUUCCGUCGCCACCUCUCGAUUCGCUUCCCCUAAUCAAUCAUUCAUUUCUCCAUCGCCUUCCGCUUCUCUCUUCCGUCGCUACUUCACUGUCGAGUCAGAUGGUGCUGUGAAAAAGAAGAUUGAAGAUAUAAUGCCUAUUGCUACUGGACAUGAGCUGGAGGAGCUUACGGCUGAGCUUCAGGGGAAGGAUGUUCUUGA